rnacentral:rRNA from 1 species
UACGAAGGGGGCUAGCGUUGCUCGGAAUCACUGGGCGUAAAGGGUGCGUAGGCGGGUCUUUAAGUCAGGGGUGAAAUCCUGGAGCUCAACUCCAGAACUGCCUUUGAUACUGAAGAUCUUGAGUUCGGGAGAGGUGAGUGGAACUGCGAGUGUAGAGGUGAAAUUCGUAGAUAUUCGCAAGAACACCAGAGGCGAAAGCGGCGACCUGGACAGGUACUGACACUCAACUACGAAAGCGUGGGGAGCAAACAGG